GAUGAAGAACGUAGCGAAAUGCGAUAAGUAAUGUGAAUUGCAGAAUUCAGUGAAUCAUCGAAUCUUUGAACGCACAUUGCGCCCGCCAGUAUUCUGGCGGGCAUGCCUGUUCGAGCGUCAUUUCAACCAUCAAGCCCCCGGCUUGUGUUGGGGACCUGCGGCUGCCGCAGGCCCUGAAAACCAGUGGCGGGCUCGCUGUCACACCGAGCGUAGUAGAUUUUCAUCUCGCUCAGGGCGUGCUGCGGGUUCCGGCCGUAAAAAGCCUUAUUUACCCAAGGUUGACCUCAGAUCAGGUAGGGAUACCCGCUGAACUUAAGCAUAUCAAUAAGCGGAGGA
rnacentral:misc_RNA from 1 species